UCUCGGCGGACGCCGAACCACCCCCAGUCGCUCACCUGCUCGGGCUUAACAGGACCCGGAGGCCUCGCGCGGUGAACGCGGCCGAGAGCACGAAGGGGGCGCGCUCGGGUCAACCUGGAAGCCGGGGCUCGAGUCCCUGGGCUCGGACUUGGAGAGAUCAGGCUUCUGGAAAGUGUACAGGUCGGAAUUCCCGCAGCCCAGCUAAAUCAAGUGCUGCUGCUGGUCUCCUCUGGCACCUCCAAUUUCUGCGCGCUGCGGCGGAAGCCCGGGGUUCGCAGCGCAGUCUGUUCUGGUCGGAGGGGGCGGCGGCGAGGGGCCGCCAGACUCGCUGCCAGGGUGGAAGGUCCAGGCCGGCUUUCCGGGCUAGUAGUGUUUCAUUCGCCGGCGCGUCCCUCUUCCCUGCUAGCACCGCCUGGGAGCCGGCUGAGAGAUGGGACCCUGGCUGUUCACUCCGGCGCAUCGAACUUGCCUACGCGUCCGUAGGAACGCAAAAAAGACAUCUGCCCACCUGCUGGUUAUUUGCCAAGUGAUUCGGGAAACCAGAACCCUGGGGCAGCUGGGGGAGAAAAGAAAAUAACCCAGGAGGCGGUCACCGCUGCCACAGGUGCAGGCUGUUAUCCUUGACAUCUGCAGCAGCCCUUCCAAGCUGUGGAGACCAGGUCAUCUGGAAUGCCCAUUUAUGUCAAUGGAAGAAAGAAAAAGGGGUCUCCUCCCAUCCUCACCACUGCAUUCUCCCACCAACCCUGCUCCUAUCCCACUUCCCACAACUCAGUUGUUGACAAUUGAACAGUGGGUUUCUGGAAACAGUGCUGCCUCCUUGAUGGUCUAACAACCAGAGUUAUUCUAACAGCAGGAAUUUCAAGCCAGCAAACCAGACAUACAUAGGAGGCACAGCAAAAGACCCAAGGUGAGGGGCUUCCCUCACCUUCACCCUUGUUCUCACGUGGAGGUGGCGCAUGUCUAUGAGACACAGUACCCCACUCAGUGAUCCUCUGCAGUCCAGCAAAUUCUAGCACUUGCUUGGAAAACAAAUCAAGUGGUAAGAAAUGUUUUUAUUCCUUUUGCUUUGUCAACUUGGAUGGGGCUGGGGCCAUUCAGCUCAUUUCCCUGAUGGAUUAGAAUAAAACGUCUUCGUUUUCUAUUAAAAUCUGCACAAUCAGCUUUUGGUACCGCAUAUCAUGCAGGGUGGUAAGGGUGCUGUCCUCAGGGGGCCUCAUCAGAGUGGGCCCAAACACGAUCCCCAGAUUUUCUGCAUUCAUGAAAUUGUCUUUUUCAUUCAUAGUAACCCUGCAAAACAAAACAAACAUAUAGAACAGAGACAUUAUGGAGACUUGAGAUUGAUUUUAUGUAUUGAUUAUGUAUGUAAGUCCCAAGAACAUCUCUGGUUCAGGAAACUGCAAGAAAAAAUUGGGGAUCAGAAUAGCAGAAAGGUAUUUUUGGAAGGGUAAUUUACUGAUUUUUCGUUUUAAAUUGUUGACAUUGCCUUCGCCGGUGGGAAUGAAUUACUUAUGUGAAUCUGGCAGGAACACAAUUUUUAAAAUUAGAAAAUUAGUCCUCCUUAUUAAGUAAAUGUGGAACUAUCAUUUAAGGAAUACUGGUUUGUAGGGGCAGCAGAUUCUGAGGCUGGCCCAUGGUCCUUUCAUAGGCCUUAUAUAGAAGGCUUUUUUUUCCCUCUUGUGGCUUCCUGCUGGUCUGUAUGCUGGAGAGUGGGAAGGGAAGGGCAGGAUCCCUCUCUGCUGGGAGGACCGGUGCCAGAGGAGAAAGGUUAUGUGUAGAAUGGGCUGUCAUGAAUUUAGGAAGAGCCAGGCCGUUAUCAUGGGGUGGGGGAAUGGCUGGAAUGUCGCCAAACUGGAAGGCAGUUGGACAUUAUUUCUAGUUCCCACAGGAUGAGGUCUACAGCAGUUGAAAUUAAAAAUCAUUUCGACAUCCAGAUAAGAACUGCAGAGCCUUUAAGAAUAAAAUUCAAACUGCAAAGUUGGUUUAACACCUUCCUCAUGGAAUAAAAUUACAAUCUCCCAGAGUUUUGUUUUCACAAAUUUAAGUUUUAGAAUGUUCAUAAUAGAUGUAAAAGGGAGUGGGUUCUCCAAAAAAGAGCAAAAUAUAAUUAAAAUGUGUUUAGGUUGUGCGUAAAAAGCCAUCCCUUUCUAUUUCCUUAUAACUCAUUAGGAUUAGCCAUUGAGUAUUAUUUUAAGGUCAACCCAGUUUGUGUCAUGUACAUGCCACAAAGCUAAGAAGAAGGUUGGAAAGAGGACAUUUCUCACCAUCAAAGUGCCCACAGUUUCCUCUUAAGUCAGGCACUACGCCUGACCAAACAAGAUGGCUGGCAAACCCACUAUGAUAAAGAUACAGUAUUAUUGGCAUUUAAGGUUCAGCUGAAAGGUGUCAGCAUUUUUCUGGUAGUGGUACUUUGCCUUCCACACUGUAACAACUGGAUAUUGAUCACAAUAAAUAUUUUACAGCUAAUUGAAAGCCAGAUGUGAUACCCAUAGUUUAUUAUCUAAAAAUUACUUGUACUCCUAAAUUCAAUAAAUUAAUCAGAAUGGGAAUAUUCUGAGCUAAAUGUUACCAUCACCCUGAAUCUGAGCAACAAUAUUGUAUGUCUAAUAAGGUAGAAAAAUAAAAACCUCAAUACCUACUGU